UUAAUUUAAAUUGAAAGUUUAACGAUGUAGAAUCUAGAGGCUGGCUCCAGAGGAUGGCAUUGAGGAUCAAAUAAAAAUACAAUAGAUAAGAAAUUUAAUGCAGAAAAAAGCAAAAUAAGAAAAUGAUAAUAAAAAAAAAUGAAGAAGGAGGAGAAGUGAAGUGGGAUGAAGUAAAAUGCAGAUUUGUCAAGGUGGACAGAGGCAUUUAUCGCUCGUCUCGGUUAUUUACUAUGGUGUCUCGCUUAAUCAUGCAUUAUACAGCCGAUGCUUUCAGACUCUUUGGACUCUGGAUGAACAGAACGCCGGUGAUAUCACGACGGCGGCACACAUUUUCUUGUACACGUCGAGAAAUUCAAGAGUCAGACGAGUAACGCAGCGGGAUACCAAUAAGAGAAGCUCUACUCAACUCAACUCAGUGUAACCAAAAGAAGGAUCCUGCCAGUGAUUGACUCACAUCAGAUGUCUUACAUAAGCCACAACAAUCCCAGCAAUUCACGGAAAUAACUUGAAGUAAAAAAAUUCCUCAAGCAAAGAGGAUCACUCAGAUGGAAUAAAAUAACUUGUUAGUAACUCACAAGUGCAUAAACAUAAAUAAAAUCCACUUCAUACUUUUUAUAGUUGAAUUU